rnacentral:rRNA from 1 species
CGCGGGAAAUCUUACUAGAUCAGGACACUUUGAGGAUUGACAGACAGUUAUACCGAACUACGAAUAAUGAAUGGUCCAGGGUAGGCAAAAACUAAUAGCUCUUUUAUGAUUAUGUGAUAGGUGGUGCAUGGCCGUUCUUAGUUCGUGGAGUGAUCUGUCUGCUUAAUUGCGUUUCAAAACAACUGAUACACAGAGUCUUGGCACAGUUCAGUUUAAUGGCGUCGAGUAUCUUUGAUUUCGACAGUAGUCCAACUCGGUUCGCCAGGGUCUCUUUUGAACGCAACGGACGUGAUCGCAACCCUUUGUUGAGUGAUGUCAGCACUCUACGUCUAUCCUAGCUCGUUGAUCGCAAGUGAGAGUUGGGUGGGCAAACUCAGGGGACAGCUUCAACUAUUCUUCUUCAAACUAGAGGAAGGUUGCGGCAAUAACAGGUCUGUGAUGCCCUCAGAUGUUCUAGGCUGCACACGUGCUACAUUGAUCAGCACAAUGCGAUACACUUCGAAAGGAAACAUCGGUUUUAAGGUAACGUCGAUUGCCUACCGAUAGCACCUGGUCCCCAGUGGACUGGGCAAUCUCUUCUAAAUGCUGGUAAGGUACCCACACUCGAGCUAUUUAAUCACACGCGGGAGGCACACACGGUUCAAAUCUCAUUUGCGACUGUUGCCGCCAUGACGUAUGCAACUUGUCAAUUCUUCGUGGGGAUCGUC